rnacentral:rRNA from 1 species
CCUACGUGUGGCUGCAGUGAGGAAUAUUGGUCAAUGGCCGCAGGGCUGAACCAGCCAAGUCGCGUGAGGGAUGACGGUCCUAUGGAUUGUAAACCUCUUUUGUCAGGGAGCAAAGGUCGCCACGUGUGGCGCUUUGCGAGUACCUUAAGAAAAAGCAUCGGCUAACUCCGUGCCAGCAGCCGCGGUAAUACGUAGGAUGCGAGCGUUAUCCGGAUUUAUGGUGUUUAAAGGGUGCGCAGGCGGAAUGUAAAGUCAGCGGUAAAAUUUCGGUGCUCAACCCCGUCGUGCCGUUGAAACUGGAGUUCUUGAGUGAGCGAGAAGUAUGGGGAAUGCGUGGUGUAGCGGUGAAAUGCAUAGAUA